AAAGACCCAUUGCAGAGGAUUAUUAUCAGGAAAUGAAAACUGUGCAAUAGGAAACUAAUGUCUCCUAUGGAUUCUCCCAGAUAAUCUACAUCUUUCCUAAAGUAUGCUGCUUAAAAUUGGAUACAGAACACCAUCAGGCCUCUCCAUCCCCUAAAAGAAGGUGGAUUAGCCAUCGUUAAGGUGAACAAAAUCAGAGAUUAAAGAAGGAGUUUUGCACUGAAAGAGAGAAGAAUAGAUGGACCGAAAGCAUCUGCUUUGCCUGUGAUACAUCAGAGCUUGUUCAGGUUAUCUCCAGACACCAAGAGUGAACACCUUUUGCGACAGUGGGGGAACUUCACUUUGCCUCAGAGCAUUUAUAAACGAAACUGCUGCAGAGCUGCUGGUGUGUGAAGCAGCGCUUCAGGUACCUCUUGCUCCAUGUGCUGGUGUGGUAUGUGCUUGCCUCUUCUUAGGAAAAUGUCAUUUUGAUUUUGCUUCAUUCCUAAUUAAUAGGACUGAGGUUAGAGGGAGGAAUACUACAUAUCUUCACAUUUUCAAUUGA
rnacentral:lncRNA from 1 species